UAGGGAAUUUUGCGCAAUGGGCGAAAGCCUGACGCAGCAACACCGCGUGAGUGAUGACGCCCCUUGGGGUGUAAAACUCUGUCAGUGGGGACGAAUUUUGACGGUACCCACAGAGGAAGCAUCGGCUAACUACGUGCCAGCAGCCGCGGUAAGACGUAGGAUGCGAGCGUUGUCCGGAUUUAUUGGGCGUAAAGAGUUCGUAGGCGGCAUAUCAAGUCUGGUGUUAAAAUUCGGGGCUCAACCCCGUAUCGGCGCUGGAUACUGAUAAGCUAGAGUGCAGUAGAGGCAAGGGGAAUUCCCAGUGUAGCGGUGAAAUGCGUAGAUAUUGGGAGGAACACCGGUGGCGUAAGCGCCUUGCUGGGCUGUUACUGACGCUGAGGAACGAAAGCCAGGGGAGCAAAUGGG
rnacentral:rRNA from 1 species